ensembl:lncRNA
UGAGAAUUUGAGGCCAAUCUAGGCUACAUAGUGAGUUCAAGGCCAGCCAGAACUACACAGCAAGACUCUGUCUCAAAAACUCAAAACCAAAAAAAAAAAAAAAAAAAAGAAAAGAAAACCAGAAAAAGGUAUGAGCACUCAGUCUGAGGCAUGGUUUUGUUGUGAUGUGCUGACUUUGCCAGAGGGCCAAAUCAGAGGGACUGCCUGAUUUUGAACUUGGACCUCCAGAACACCCUUGGUGGGAUGUUUCCUUUGAAGUCUCCCACCUCACUGCCUCCCAGGAUGAACAUGACCUAAGCCAGCCUAUACUCUGUCAAGGCCAGAGCAAGGCCACACUCCACAGCCCAUGACCGAGGCAGGGAGGAGUCAAGGCCACAUGACAGAUUUUCCUUUGUGCAAAGUCUGCUGGCCUUUUGGGGACCGAUCCUUGACGUCAUCAGCACCAGCAAGUGUGGCCAAGUGGACCUACCCACUCAGACCAUAGCGACCAUGACAUAACCACUGACAUUUCACAACUUUUUGAACGCUCCAGGAAGCUGGCAAGGUUUGCAAUGGACUUCUUUUGCCCAUGGCUUGCCAUUGCAGCCUUCAUCAGACAUAAACAAGUAUUUACUGAAGGAGGAUGCUAAGGAAGACCUGUGUCAAGGCCCAAUAGAGGGACUGACAUGAUCAAGCCAGGGUCACUCUGGGUCCUGUUUUGUACUCUUAUGUACACGAGGACAACUACCACCACUUCAGGCAAGGGGGUCCUGGGGAGAAGCAAUAGGUUCAGAGAAGAAAGGGCAAGAAGUGCCUCAACGUCCUUUCCCAGGCUAGUGGUUAGCAUCUGCAAUUUGUUUGCUGGGGUCAUAAGAAAGAGAACAAGAGUAGGGGUGAAGUGUGAGUCCCAGUCACAAAGUGCGCCAACAGUGGCCCACUCCUGAAAGGUCUGAUUGUAUUGGCCUAUAUUUCUCUGGCUGCCAACUUAUUCAGAUCCAGAGAUGGCAUGGAAUUGCUGGCCCUAGAAUUCUCCUUACCACACAGUGGGAAAUAAUCCCAAACACUUGGAGCGAGAUGUGUAGCCGAGGUUUGGUGAGGUAAUGGGGUGGAAGGAGCAGAAGGGUGCAAAGCAAUGGAAGAAUGCAGAGUCAGAAGGAGGGAAUACAUGUUUUCCAGUAUCCCCUAUUAGUGAAAUCACAGGCACUGAAGUGAGCGCAGGAAAGGGGAGAGUGAAGGUGGAGGGAAAGAGGAUGGGAGGGAGAAAAUCAAUGGUAAGGAAACAAAUCCUGAAGAAGGGUGACAAGGAUAUGUUUCAUCUUUUGGGGUGUACCCAACGCAGCUCAUUGUCAGCUCCUAGACUACCCACUAGCCGAUUUAGUUUUAGAAUUUUCGUCUUAAUCAUCUUAUU